GAGUCGGCGCUGGCAGAGCUGGGGAGUUGGGGGCUGCGUAGGCAUUUUGCCCUCCGAGGGGCCGUUGGGAACUUCCCGAGGUCAGCUGCAGUGUGCCGGCCCACGCCUCCUAACACACCGCUCCUUCGGAACGGUCAGCGGUGACCAGGAUGAGCCCCAGGCCUUGCAGGGUGUAAAGCAAGCAAUGGACAGCAGCCCCCCCACGCCGGGGUUUCUGACGGACAGCUUGGAGCUGGAGCCGGCCACAGAAUGGUGCAAGCCUCCGCGCUUUUCUUGUGUGUUUGCCAACAGAGGAGGAGGAAAGCGCUUUUCCGGAGAGUCCUACCUCUCUAGCGGAGCCCUUAAGCGACUGAUUUUGAAUCUUGAUCCUUUACCAACCAACUUUGAAGAAGACACAGUGGAAAUAUUUGGCACCCAGUGGGUCACUGGCACCGCCUUAGUGAAGUCAUCCAGGGUGCUCUUCCAUCUCCUCAGGCAGCAGCUACACAGCUUGGAAACAUUACUACAGGCCUCCUGUGACUUUGGGAAAAUAGCAACCCUGCACUGCAAAGCAGAUGGCAUCAGGCAGCAGUGUGUGACGUUUCUUCAGUACGUGAAAGUCUUCAUCUUCAGGUGCCUGAAGGUGCAUAGUAACGAGAGUCCUGUCCCCGCCCACCCCUACGACACUCUGGAGGCUCAGCUUCCUUCGGUGCUGGUUGACGAGCUCCUUGGAAUACUCUCGUAUGUCGGACACCUGUCUGAGCUGCCCAGUGCUAACCUAGGAGCGUUUGUCAAUCAGAACCAGACUAAGCUCUUCCCACCAUCAUGGCACUUACUCCACCUCCACUUAGAUGUCCACUGGCUGGUGCUGGAGAUCCUUCACAUGCUGGGAGAAAAGCUGAAACAAGUUGUAUAUGGUCAUCAGUUUGUGAAUCUCACAGGUGACAAUCUGACCAGCGUGAGCCUAUUUGAAGAACAUUGUGAAAAUCUCCUGUGUGAUUUAAUAAGUUUGUCGCUCCACAGGUAUGAGAAGGUCAGGCCUUCUGAAGCAGUAGUGAGUCAGCACUGCUCAUGUUCCUGCAUCAGAGAAUUCUGGGUUCUGCUGAUCCACCUGCUGGACCACAGAAGUAAAUGGGCUCUCUCAGAAUCAUUUUGGAACAGGUUGAAUAAUCUACUUAGAACACUCUUUGAAAAGUCCAGUGACCAAAGCAGACCUGUCCCUCUCACUGAGCCCAGGGACCCACUGGGCCUGAGUUUGUGGCUUGUCACUCACGUGGCUUCACUGUACCAGUUUGAUCGCCAUGGAGCACCAGAUGAAACAAGACACAUGGAAUCAAAUUGGAGCUUUGUGGAAGAAAUGCUGCGGAAGGCCACCAGCGCACAGGGCUGUAUACUGGAAGAUCAGUUACGAAUGUAUCUGCACUGCUGUCUGACACUCUGUGAUAUUUGGGAACCGAACACCACAGUCGUCACCAUUCUGUGGGAAUACUAUAGCAAAAACCUGAAUAGUUCCUUCAGUAUCUCUUGGCUUCCCUUGAAAGGCCUCACAAAGACCAUUAAGUCACCCAUGUCAAUGCUGGAUAUGGUGAAGAGCUGGUGUUGUGACAAACAAGACCCUGACCUGUAUAAAUCUAACAGCAGUUACAACAUUUUCCUCUGUGUUUUGGCCAAAAUUGUUAAGAAAGCGAUUAAGAAUAAUGGCCCUCAUCCUUGGAAGCAAGUUAAAGGAAGAAUAUAUUCUAAAUUCCACCAAAAAAGAAUGGAGGAACUCACAGAAGUCGGCCUGCAGAACUUCUUCCAGCUGUUCCUGCUGCUGGCAGCUGUUGCCGACGUGGAGGACGUAGCCAGCCGUGUUCUGGACCUCCUGCAUUUCAUCAAGCCGACGGCGGCGGCGACCGCACUCGUCUGGAGAGGGCAGAUGGCCCUCCUCUUGAUGUAUACUGAAAAGGCUCUGGACACCAGUGUGUUGGCUGAGAAGUUUUCAGGUGCUUUCCGGGAGAAAGCCAAGGAGUUCUUAGUAUCUAAGAAUGACGAAACUGGACAGAGGCACGCCCUCUGGACGCUCCUCUCUAUCUACAUCGACGGUGUUCAGGAAGUGUUCGAGACCAGUGCGAGCAUCCAUCCUUCUCACGAAAAGCUGCUUAAUGACGGCUUCAGUAUGCUGCUGCCCGCUUGUCACGACGCUCAGCUCAGGACGGUGCUGAACUUUCUCCAGGCCGUUCUGGCCAGAACCAGGAACCUCCACCACCAGCUGUGCCCGCAGCUGCACCAGGAGAGAGACCCCAGCUUGCAGGCCUCGUUGUCGGCUCAAGAGCGCCACCUGGCUGCGGUGGGCAGUGCACUGUGGAAGCAUUUCUUCUCCUACCUGAAGGGUCAGCGAGUGUCCCGGGUGCUGCCGGCCCCGCAGCUGGCCGCUGCUGCCGCAGAUUUUACCUUGCUGGCCAUGGACAUGCCUAGCACGGCCCCGAGCGACCUGCAGCCUCAGCCGGCAGCAGCGGUGGCGCAGCUUUUCGGUUGGGAUGACAUCAUCUGUCCCCAGGUCGUGGCAGGAUAUCUGAGCCAUUGCCUACAGAACAGCAUGUUAUGCGAAACACUUUCUCACUCAGGCAGUGUAUCUUUCCAAGCCUUGACUAUAAGAUCAUGGAUCCGAUGUGUUCUGCAAAUGUAUGUGAAAAGCCUCAGUGUGCCUGACAGUUUGUUCACUGACCUAAGUCCUGAACAGGCAGUUGAAGAAGAGUAUAUGCAGCAGUUGACUGAGCUGACGCGGCUGCUAUUCCAACUCUCAGAAGUGAAGAGCAUCUUCUCAAAGGCUCAGGUUGAACCCACACCCCUCCCUGAAGACCCUAAGAGAGCUCUCGUUCAAUUCUUGGAGGCUGUUGGUCUGGCUUACGGGAACCUGCAGACACUGUCUGAGAAAUCUUCCAUGGUCACAAAGUCCUUGCGGUACCUUGGAGAAAUACUAAAAUAUAUAAAACCUUAUUUGGGGAAAAAAAUGUUGAGUGCAGGAUUGCAUCUGACUUAUAGGAUGAUGGGCAUUCUGGUGAAAUCCUGGGCACAGAUCUUCGCCACCUCGAAAGCCCAGAAGCUGCUGUUCCGGAUCAUAGACUGCUUGCUGCUGCCGCACGCCGUGUUACAGAGAGAGAAAGAGCUUCCCGCUCCUGUGCUGACUGCGAUUCAUAAGAACCUUCCUUUGUAUCUCCAGGGUAUGUGCACUGUGUGCUGUCAGUCUCAGAACCCAAGUGCCUACCUGCACCAGCUGCUGGGGAAUGUGGUGGAGCAGUUCCUCGGGCGUUUUCUCCCCGCUUCCCCACACGCUGGCGGCCUGGGGCAGCAUCCCGUGCUGGUGGCCCUGAGAAACUCGCCUUCUGCUACACUGAUGGCGCCUCUGAAGAAGUGCCUUGUCCAAGUCAUCAGGAAGGCCUACUUCGAGUGUAAAGGGCCACUGCCCACUCCGCAAGUCUCAGCCGCCCUGGCCUUCACCCUCCAGCUCUGCAGAGACAGCUCCGUAGAGGCUGCUGACGUGGAAGUCCUGCUCCCUGGGGUCUUGAGAUAUUUGGUGCUGAUAAACGAUCCCCAAGCGAGCCGGCUGGCCACAGAGAGCCUGCAGCACAUGCUGACCGUCUGCCAAGCGGGGUCCGAGGGAGAGCCCGCAGCCCGGCUGACUUCUGUGUUGAGGCGCCUCAUCCAGGACUGCGGCCCGCGGCUCGACCGCCAGCUGUACGGCCUGUUGGAGACCGUGGCGGCGCUGGACCGGCAAGUCGUCGUGCCCUUGAUUCCCGCCCUCACGCAGGCCCUGCAGGACUCGGAGCGGAAGUGGGGCCUCGGCAAAGACAUGGCGCAGAGGUGGAUUUGACCACGUGAUGGUGUCCUUCGGGUGGAGGCCGCGAGUCGUAGACUCGUGCUGGGCAAGCCUACUGCAAGCUUCUGUCUCAGCUAGGACAAGCGGGACAAGAGGAAAUUCAGAGACUGCAACAAGAUGGCUCCUGACCCGCUCUGUGCUUCAUCCUCUGUACAGCUGGUAAAGCCACGCACGUUCUGACUCCUCGUUUCAGCUCACUAAGACGCCCUAGCAUUCCUCCUCACAAACCUGUAGACAUGAAGGGUGUAAUUAAGGAAAUAAAGGUUAAUUCUAUUGUUGCAUUUUAGAACUUGGCAGAUGACCUGUGCUUUGGAGAAGGUUUUAGUUAAACUACAUUGAAGGUUUUUUUUUUUUUUUUAACGAGAGUGUUAUUGACUGUGGAGCAGGUUAUAUCAUCGCAUCCAUGAGCCUUUCCCCGUAACGUGAUUUCCCGUCUUGUGCUCAUUUUAGUUCAUUACAAAGUAACGUUUUAAUGUGCUGAGCCUUGCCAAUUUAUCUUCUUUUUCGUCAGCAUCUUCUGUUUUCUUUUGUAUUAUUAUUAGUGACUUAAUCAUGAUCGACAAGAUGGUGGUGUAAGAGGGGAGCAGUUCCCACCACCAGAGUUCCAUAUCCCUCUUUUACACUUGAAGUUUCCUUUUUUUUUUUUUUUCUUUUUUUGUCUCCAGGGUUCUUCUCCGGCCUGGUGCCUGCACCAUAAAUCCACGGCUUCCAGAGGCCAUGCUCCUCCUUUGCGUUUAGCUGGGAAAUGUGAUCCGGAAGACAGUUGUUACACUUUUCCCUCCUUGCUUCACUGUGUUUGCAGGAAGCCGCAGAGUUUCAUUCAGUAGCUGUUUUUCUUCAGUCCUUAUCUCUUCUGGAUUCCUUUCACCAAGCGGCUUUGCCCCAUGUCUGCUUUCUGUGCUAAACAUUACCUGAUAUCAACAACUUCGGUCUCCUUGUGAACCAACCUGGGUCUCCAACCCAGCACUCCUUUGUCACCUUGAUCAAGUUGUCGCGGGAAUAUCUGUGGAACAGCUCUGAGUGUGUCAGCUCCAGGUGCAGCAGAUCCAGAGGGCGAGUCUGAGGCCCAGGCCGCGGGGAGGCAGGGAGAGACACUAUGGCACCAGAAUCUAGCGGACUCCUGCCAGGCUAGAUGCCCGCCUGACUCGGAAAGCCGCUUACACUGCCUUUAAGCUGGGUGCUGUGCCUGGUUUGGUCACAGGGUGGUUCUGGAAAAGGUACAUUGGGUCUGGCUACAGGGGCACCACGCCGGUGUGUUCAGGCACAAGGGUCACGUGCUGGGUCAUCAAGGUCCCCGUGAAACCGAGGAGGAGGCGGGUUGGGUCCAUUCCACGCCCAAUCCGGGCGCCAAGGUGCCAGUGAGGACAGAAAGAAUCAGACAGGCUGGUUGGCUACAUUCUGCGAACGAAAAGCUGUGAGCUGAUGGGUUACACUCCUAGUCCCCUUGGUUUGCUGACGUGCGGCAGCAGCCCACCCGCCUGUCUGUCCGCUGUGGAGUUGGGGAACAUUUUAUUUCAAAAUUGCUGAGCUCUUAUGAGCCUCCACUCAUCUCUUCAUAGAAGAAAAGAAUAAGAGCUAAUAAGCCUUAUUCUGUCUCCCAGUGUUCUCAGAAGAGUCAGUAUGGUGACGUGAAGAUACUUAGAGACCCAUGGUCUGUCUGCAGCAAUUACAUCAGGGAUAGAGAGACUUUUUUCAGCCAGGAGCCAUGUGGGUACUUAUAUCUUCAUGGUCCAUAAAAAAAAUAAUAAUAAAUAUCAGCCCAAAAUUAGCCCCUAAUGUUAUGAUGAGGGAGGUGCCUCCUAAGGGUUAUUGAACGUUGAGCCUGCCUGCAGUGGCCUUGGCAGGGCCGGACCACGUGAUCGCAGGCGGAAUCCCCCCCCAUGUCCGAGAUGCUGUACGGAAGCAAAGGGGAAGGCCACUCCUCCUCUCCUCCUCUCUUUUUCUGACGCUGGGCUCUGAAUGGACUGGCCUGUAUUCUCUACCUUUCUCACGUCCUAUUUGCUUAUUUUGAAUUGAUUGGUUAUUUUCAGUUGGGUGCUCUGCUCCAUUCUGUUCUGUUCCUUCAAGACAACAUCUCUACUGCUUUCUGGCUGAAGAAGCAUCUAUGGAGUGAACUGCUGCUAAGAGGCAGCUGGCGUUAGCCAUCUCCUCCUGCACAGAUCCCAUGAAGUCCAGAGGAGAAUCUGCUGUUUUCCCCUAAGGUCAGCUGGGUGGAAUGAACAUAGGCCGCUCUGUGGUUACUUUAUAGAGUACUGAUACUCCUUGCAUUAUGAUAGUGACUUUUUAAGCUAAUUAUGUAUUAUUUUGCAAGCUUUAGCAAUGGUGGUUUUAUUUAUUUAAGGUGAUGUCAUUAAAGAAGAUA